rnacentral:piRNA from 1 species
UGGGAUCUUAGUAGAUGGUGUGGAGA